rnacentral:rRNA from 1 species
UCUGAAUCUGCGAACGGCUCCGCAAACCAGUUGUAAGACACAGCAGUUCCGGGCCUAUCCCCUAGCUUCGCAGCCUGGGGGUAGCCCAUCUAUAUGGAUAACCCUGGUAAUUCUGAGGCUAAUACAUGACACAAACAAACUUCCGUCGCCAGGGCCCUCACGGGCCUAGGCGGUGGGAGGGCGUGCGAGUUAAGGCUUGGGUAAUCAGGACAGAACGCACGCACUGGACCGCCAUUAAGCGGGGUGGGGAUGGGCCUUCACGGGCCUGACCCUGCCCUGGCGGCUCCUGGGUAUCGCUUCUGACCUAUCAAUUAGACGGCAGCUUAUGGGACAUGCUAUGGU